AUGAACGCUGGCGGCGUGCCUAAUACAUGCACGUCGAGCGCACGGACGAGAAGCUUGCUUUUCUGAUGUUAGCGGCGGACGGGUGACUAACACGUGGAUAACCUACCUAUAAGACUGGGAUAACUUCGGGAAACCGGAGCUAAUACCGGAUAAUAUUUUGAACCGCAUGGUUCAAAAGUGAAAGACGGUCUUGCUGUCACUUAUAGAUGGAUCCGCGCUGCAUUAGCUAGUUGGUAAGGUAACGGCUUACCAAGGCAACGAUGCAUAGCCGACCUGAGAGGGUGAUCGGCCACACUGGAACUGAGACACGGUCCAGACUCCUACGGGAGGCAGCAGUAGGGAAUCUUCCGCAAUGGGCGAAAGCCUGACGGAGCAACGCCGCGUGAGUGAUGAAGGUCUUCGGAUCGUAAAACUCUGUUAUUAGGGAAGAACAUAUGUGUAAGUAACUGUGCACAUCUUGACGGUACCUAAUCAGAAAGCCACGGCUAACUACGUG
rnacentral:rRNA from 1 species